GAUGAACGCUGGCGGCGUGCCUAAUACAUGCAAGUCGAGCGAACGGACGAGAAGCUUGCUUUUCUGAUGUUAGCGGCGGACGGGUGAGUAACACGUGGAUAACCUACCUAUAAGACUGGGAUAACUUCGGGAAACCGGAGCUAAUACCGGAUAAUAUUUUGAACCGCAUGGUUCAAAAGUGAAAGACGGUCUUGCUGUCACUUAUAGAUGGAUCCGCGCUGCAUUAGCUAGUUGGUAAGGUAACGGCUUACCAAGGCAACGAUGCAUAGCCGACCUGAGAGGGUGAUCGGCCACACUGGAACUGAGACACGGUCCAGACUCCUACGGGAGGCAGCAGUAGGGAAUCAUCCGCAAUGGGCGAAAGCCUGACGGAGCAACGCCGCGUGAGUGAUGAAGGUCUUCGGAUCGUAAAACUCUGUUAUUAGGGAAGAACAUAUGUGUAAGUAACUGUGCACAUCUUGACGGUACCUAAUCAGAAAGCCACGGCUAACUACGUG
rnacentral:rRNA from 1 species